AAGCUCAGGUUUGAGAACUGCUGA
rnacentral:miRNA from 1 species